UGAGUAACCUGCCCUUAACUCUGGGAUAAGCCUGGGAAACUGGGUCUAAUACCGGAUAUGACUCCUCAUCGCAUGGUGGGGGGUGGAAAGCUUUAUUGUGGUUUUGGAUGGACUCGCGGCCUAUCAGCUUGUUGGUGAGGUAAUGGCUCACCAAGGCGACGACGGGUAGCCGGCCUGAGAGGGUGACCGGCCACACGUGGGACUGAGACACGGCCCAGACCUCCGUACGGGAGCAG
rnacentral:rRNA from 1 species